UACGGAGGAGGCAAGCGUUAUCCGAAAUUAUUGGGCGUAAAGCGUCCGCAGGUGGCACUUCAAGUCUGUCGUCAAAGACUGGGGCUUAACCCUGGAAAGGCGGUGGAAACUGAAGCGCUAGAGUGCGGUAGGGGUAGAGGGAAUUCCCGGUGGAGCGGUGAAAUGCGUAGAGAUCGGGAAGAACGCCAAGGGCGAAGGCACUCUGCUAGGCCUAAUUUCGCGACUGACACUCAGGGACGAGAGCCAGGGGAGCGAAUGGG
rnacentral:rRNA from 1 species